CGGCAGUGGGGAAGAAGCGACGCAAAACGUCCUUAAAAAGACAACACUCCCGAUGAAGCGAAGAAUGGAACGGGGCUCCAAGUUCCACUUCUCAGGCGUGAGCACCAGGCUGUUGUACCAGAGCAACACGGAGGGAAUACUGCUGUAUCUAAAAUGCUCUGUUUUGCAUUUCCUGCUGUCGGAGCUGUUUGGAGAUGUCCUCCCAUUUUGAAAAGCUUCAAGAUGUUAGUCAAGAAGUUCCAUUGUGGAAGAAGAAAGUCAAGGUAGCUCUGCAGUAAAUAUUGAAGCAAACAUUUAUUUGACGUACUGGGGGAGGAAGCCCUUUAACUAUUGAAUUAUUGCAGUAGUAAUCCAUCCCAGAGGACCUCAAGUGUGGCAGCAGUGCUAUAAAUGCAAUAGAACAUUGACUAUUGAAAGCAUCGACUAUGAAUGUAAAGAAUGAAAAAGAAUGUUUUUUUUCUUGUAAUUCUUUUUAUUAUAAAGUUAAUUUUGUAGAAAAUCCUUUGAUGUACCAAGAAAUAUUUUCUUUACUUUGUAAAUAAUAUGACUAUAACUUUGCUCCAUGGCUUUGGGUUCCAGAAGAGUGAAGCCAGGCCUUGGCCUGCGCUAUUCCGAGCACCCAGUACUCAAAAACCCUCAAGGGGGUUAUUUCCCUGGUGCUGCAAAGUCAAAGUGAAAUGUCUUAUCAAAGAAUGUACAUGCUACUUUAAGAUUCAUUGUCUUGUAGGCGUUAACAGGA